rnacentral:rRNA from 1 species
UACGAAGGGGGCUAGCGUUGUUCGGAAUUACUGGGCGUAAAGCGCACGUAGGCGGAUAUUUAAGUCAGGGGUGAAAUCCCGGGGCUCAACCUCGGAACUGCCUUUGAUACUGGGUAUCUCGAGUCCGGAAGAGGUGAGUGGAAUUCCGAGUGUAGAGGUGAAAUUCGUAGAUAUUCGGAGGAACACCAGUGGCGAAGGCGGCUCACUGGUCCGGUACUGACGCUGAGGUGCGAAAGCGUGGGGAGCAAACAGG